UACGGAGAGGGCAAGCGUUGUUCGGAUUUAUUGGGCGUAAAGCGCGUGUAGGCGGCGCGGUAAGUCGGAUGUUAAAGACCCACGGCUCACCCGGGGGAAUGCGUUCGAUACUGCCGUGCUGGAGUGCGAGAGAGGAAAGUGGAAUUCCUGGUGUAGCGGUGAAAUGCGUAGAGAUCAGGAGGAACACCUGUGGCGAAGGCGGCUUUCUGGCUCGCAACUGACGCUGAGACGCGAAAGCGUGGGGAGCGAACGGG
rnacentral:misc_RNA from 1 species